rnacentral:misc_RNA from 1 species
GAAAUGCUAUAAUUAAUGUGAAUUGCAGAAUUCAGUGAAUCAUCGAGUCUUUGAACGCACAUUGCGCCCCCUGGUAUUCCGGGGGGCAUGCCUGUCCGAGCGUCAUUGCUGCCCUCAAGCACGGCUUGUGUGUUGGGCUUCCGUCCCUGGCAACGGGGACGGGCCCAAAAGGCAGUGGCGGCACCAUGUCUGGUCCUCGAGCGUAUGGGGCUUUGUCACCCGCUCCCGUAGGUCCAGCUGGCAGCUAGCCUCGCAACCAAUCUUUUUAACCAGGUUGACCUCGGAUCAGGUAGGGAUACCCGCUGAACUUAAGC